UCCUCUAUCUGCUGCGGGCAGAUGUAGUGGAUAUGUGCAUCCAUGCCGCCGGCCGUGAUGAUCUUUCCUUCGCCGGCAAUGGCUUCGGUCGACGGGCCGACGAUGAUGUUGACGCCAGGCUGCGUAUCCGGAUUGCCGGCCUUGCCGAUCGCCGCGAUACGGCCGUCCUUGAGGCCGAUAUCCGCCUUCACGAUGCCGGUGUGGUCGAUGAUGACCACAUUGGUGAUGACGGUAUCGACUGCGCCAUUGGCGCGCGUCACCUGGCUCUGCCCCAUGCCGUCGCGGA
rnacentral:sRNA from 1 species